GACGAACGCUGGCGGCGUGCCUAACACAUGCAAGUCGAGCGGGGUUGAGGCGAGAGGUAACUCGAACUUCUACCUAGCGGCGGACGGGUGAGUAACGCGUGGGCAACCUGCCUCAAGGUUUGGGAUAACAGCCCGAAAGGGCUGCUAAUACCGGAUAUGCCUAUGGCCUCGCAUGGGGCUAUGAGCAAAGGGGAAACCCGCCUUGAGAUGGGCCCGCGUCCCAUCAGCUAGUUGGUGAGGUAACAGCUCACCAAGGCGACGACGGGUAGCCGGCCUGAGAGGGUGACCGGCCACACUGGGACUGAGACACGGCCCAGACUCCUACGGGGGGCAGCAGUGGGGGAUCUUGCACAAUGGGCGAAAGCCUGAUGCAGCGACGCCGCGUGAGCGAAGAAGGCCUUCGGUUGUAAGCUCUGUCUGGAGGGACGGAACAAAAUAGACGGUACCGUCCGGACGGAAGCCACGGCUAACUACGUG
rnacentral:rRNA from 1 species